CUUAAACUAAUUUAAGGUACUGCCUGCUCAAUGCUCAAAGUAAAUAGCCGCAGUAUUUUGACUGUGCUAAGGUAGCAUAAUCAUUAGUCUCUUGAUUGGAGGCUGGUAUGAAUGGCAAGACGAGAAAGUAACUGUCUCUUUUAAAAUAAUUGAAUUUCAUUUUUAAGUGAAAAAGCUUAAAUUUUUUCAAGGGACGAUCAGACCCUAUGGAGCUUAAUUAAAAAUUUUAAAUAAACUUUUUUUAAAAAAUUAUUUACUUUCUAAAAUUUUGUUGGGGCGACAGAGAGUUAAAAAUAACACUCUUUUUAAUAAACAUUAAUAAAUGAAAAAUUGAUCCCAAAAGCUGGAUUAAAAGACUAAGUUACCCUAGGGAUAACAGCGUAAUUUUUUUGGAGAGUUCAAAUCGAUAAAAAAGUUUGCGACCUCGAUGUUGGAUUAGGAAUUUAACUAGGUGCAGAAGUUUAGUUGUAGAGU
rnacentral:rRNA from 1 species